CUGCACUGCAUAACAGGUCCAUUUCCUGGUCAACUUGCUGCCUGACUUACCUGAAUUAUUUAUGAGCACAUGUUUGUUUCUGUAAGCAGGAAUGUUGUUUACAGAGAUUGGACAGCGUCUCAGGAAUGCAGACUGUGUUCAGAGGAAAUGGUUGUCUCCAGAGGGAACUUCUACAGCCUGGCUGCAGUCACAGAGGAGAAAGGUUGACAGGGACGAACCUUAUGUCCCCUGAAAUUUCCACUGCUACCUCAUGUCUGACUCGCUCCCUAUAUAAUGGAUUUCACAAGGAUUUUCACAAUCGCUUCACUUCUGGAUAAACAAGUCUUUGCCAUGUGACGUCCUGAAAACACUCAGCAGAGAAACUAUUCACACGCAACACUUGUAUUGCCUGUCUAGACCUGUGGCAAGGAAAAGAUUUGAUCAUUUUAAAGCACCAGUACAGACACAUGUAUGCAUUCACAGCUAAAUUAGAAAUGUGUAAAAUUACCAGGAUUAAUGUGUCAUAAGAGUUAAACAAAAGCACAAGGAUUACAUUAUGUACAAAGUAUGUUCUCAGCACUUGAAAUGUACUCUAAUUUGUCAAGACCAGGACACCUGAUGUAAUGAUUAUUUGUCUUCCAAAACCAAAAACCAGUUGGAGGAGUUUGUCACACCCUGUAUUCUGAUGUCACAUUGACAUACUGCUUCAAAGGGUUUGAUCUUUGACCAUUAGCACAA